UCCUCUGCUUCUCAGGGGCCUCUGAGAUGGGUGUGCUACACAAAGAGGCAGAGAUCCACAGGAAAGUUCUUUCUCUAAUUCAGAUCAGCUGCAAAUUUGAUUUCUUAGCCCUGAUCACUUUAUCAGUUUGAGAUCUGAGGCAUGACAGGAUUAUUACAGCUUGUAUCACACCAGAAACUGCAUCUUUUUUGUGGAGAAAGAAUCAAGCAGGAACAAACACCUGGGUAAAUUCCCCAAUAUUAUUUUCACAUGCAUUGCCACUUUUGUGCAGUGUUUGCAGCAGGGAUUUUCCUUUUCCCUUCCUCCCAGUUCUUCAUGACACAGGAAACUCUCAAACCAAGGAUUUUCAAAACCAUGAACUCCUGGAUCCUUUGAAUGGCACAGCAUUUCCAGCUCUGUUUCUUGAGGAUCCUUGCUGCCGGUAACGUGGAAGGGCUGCCCUGGAGCUCCUGACUCUCAUCCCUGUGACAGCCCUGGUUUGGAUGGUGCAGGACAGAAUCCACCCAGCAGCAAGGGAAACCUGGGGGCUGCAGGGACCUAAAAGGGAAAUCAAGACUCUUCUGAUCUUUUCUCCUGCAUCUUGGCCCUGUAAGUGACUCACUCCAAAGGUCAGGUCCAUCACCUCCAGUUCAUUUUUUGUUUCCUCCAAGAGCUGGAUUUGAAAGGCAAAGCUGACUCACCCUCAGGGGUGCAAGGGCAGCCCCUGCCCUGGCCCAGAGCUGGGGCACAGCCUGCCCAAAAAACUGCCCUAAAACCCCUGGGAAAAAAACUGCCCUUAAACCCCUGGGGGAAAAAAAAACCAAAAACAAAAAAACCCCCAAAAAACUGCCCUAAAACCCCUGGGAAAAAAAAAACUGCCCAGGCUGUGCCACCCUCCUGUCUGUCUGUCUGUCCCUGCCCAGGCUGUGCCACCCUCCUGUCUGUCUGUCCCUGCCCUGUCUGUCUGUCUCUGCCUGCCACAGCUCCCCAGGCAGAGAGCUGCACUCACAAUAAAUGACAUUUCACGGAGCACUGUUACAUACAAUGAAAAGUAAACAAACAAGACAGCCUUACUGUUUUUAGGUGUUUUACUA